UACAGAGGUCUCAAGCGUUGUUCGGAUUCAUUGGGCGUAAAGGGUGCGUAGGCGGCGCGGUAAGUCGGGUGUGAAAUCUCGGGGCUUAACUCCGAAACUGCAUUCGAUACUGCCGCGCUUGAGGACUGGAGAGGAGACUGGAAUUUACGGUGUAGCGGUGAAAUGCGUAGAUAUCGUAAGGAAGACCAGUGGCGAAGGCGGGUCUCUGGACAGUUCCUGACGCUGAGGCACGAAGGUCAGGGGAGCAAACGGG
rnacentral:rRNA from 1 species